rnacentral:rRNA from 1 species
GACGAACGCUGGCGGCGUGCUUAACACAUGCAAGUCGAACGGAAAGGCCCUGCUUUUGGGGUGUGCUCGAGUGGCGAACGGGUGAGUAACACGUGAGUAACCUGCCCUUGACUUUGGGAUAACUUCAGGAAACUGGGGCUAAUACCGGAUAGGAGCUCCUGCUGCAUGGUGGGGGUUGGAAAGUUUGGGCGGUUGGGGAUGGACUCGCGGCUUAUCAGCUUGUUGGUGGGGUAGUGGCUUACCAAGGCUUUGCGGGGUAGCCGGCCUGAGGGGGUGACCGGCCAAAUUGGGACUGGGAUACGGCCCAGACUCCUACGGGAGGCAGCAGUGGGGAAUAUUGCACAAUGGGCGGAAGCCGGAUGAAGCAACGCCGCGUGCGGGAUGACGGCCUUCGGUUUGUAAACCGCUUUCGCCUGUGACGAAGCGUGAGUGACGGUAAUGGGUAAAGAAGCACCGGCUAACUACGUG